rnacentral:rRNA from 1 species
GCGUAAGCGCGCGUAGGCGGCUAAUUAAGUCAAAUGUGAAAUCCCCGAGCUUAACUUGGGAAUUGCAUUCGAUACUGGUUAGCUAGAGUGUGGGAGAGGAUGGUAGAAUUCCAGGUGUAGCGGUGAAAUGCGUAGAGAUCUGGAGGAAUACCGAUGGCGAAGGCAGCCAUCUGGCCUAACACUGACGCUGAGGUGCGAAAGCAUGGGGAGCAAACAGGAUUAGAUACCCUGGUAGUCCAUGCCGUAAACGAUGUCUACUAGCCGUUGGGGCCUUUGAGGCUUUAGUGGCGCAGCUAACGCGAUAAGUAGACCGCCUGGGGAGUACGGUCGCAAGACUAAAACUCAAAUGAAUUGACGGGGGCCCGCACAAGCGGUGGAGCAUGUGGUUUAAUUCGAUGCAACGCGAAGAACCUUACCUGGCCUUGACAUAGUAAGAACUUUCCAGAGAUGGAUUGGUGCCUUCGGGAACUUACAUACAGGUGCUGCAUGGCUGUCGUCAGCUCGUGUCGUGAGAUGUUGGGUUAAGUCCCGCAACGAGCGCAACCCUUUUCCUUAUUUGCCAGCGAGUAAUGUCGGGAACUUUAAGGAUACUGCCAGUGACAAACUGGAGGAAGGCGGGGACGACGUCUAGUCAUCAUGGCCCUUACGGCCAGGGCUACACACGUGCUACAAUGGUCGGUACAAAGGGUUGC